rnacentral:rRNA from 1 species
CAGUAGCCGCGGGAAUACGAAGGUCCCGAGCGUUGUUCGGAAUCACUGGGCGUAAAGGGAGCGUAGGCGGCGUGGUAAGUCAGAUGUGAAAUCCCGGGGCUCAACCCCGGAACUGCAUCCGAUACUGCCGUGCUAGAGGAUUGGAGAGGUAGCUGGAAUUCUUGGUGUAGCAGUGAAAUGCGUGGAGAUCAAGAGGAACACUCGUGGCGAAAGCGAGCUACUGGACAACACUGACGCUGAGGCACGAAAGCGUGGGGAGCAAACAGGAUUAGAUACCCCUGUAGUCCCUGUCUCUUAUACC